GAUGAACGCUAGCGGCAGGCUUAAUACAUGCAAGUCGAGGGACAGCACAGGUAGCAAUACUGGGUGGUAACCGGCAAACGGGUGCGGAACACGUACACAACCUUCCUUUAAGUGGGGGAUAGCCCAGAGAAAUUUGGAUUAAUACCCCGUAAUAUAGUUGAAUGGCAUCAUUUGAUUAUUAUAGCUACGGCGCUUAAUGAUGGGUGUGCGGCUGAUUAGAUAGUUGGCGGGGUAACGGCCCACCAAGUCUACGAUCAGUAGCUGAUGUGAGAGCAUGAUCAGCCACGCGGGCACUGAGACACGGGCCCGACUCCUACGGGAGGCAGCAGUAAGGAAUAUUGGUCAAUGGACGCAAGUCUGAACCAGCCAUGCCGCGUGAAGGAUUAAGGUCCUCUGGAUUGUAAACUUCUUUUAUUUGGGACGAAAAAGGGCCUUUCUAGGUCAACUGACGGUACCAGAUGAAUAAGCACCGGCUAACUCUGUGCCAGCCGCCGCAGUAACAC
rnacentral:rRNA from 1 species